AUGGCCGGCGGUGGCGUGGACCGGCUGUCCUCGCUCCCCAACGACCUCCUCCGCCGCAUCCGCAUCCUCCACUUCGCCCCACUUAAGGAGGCAGCCUCCACAACCGCGCUCUCCCGGCGUUGGCAGGAGUCGCUCUGGCUCUCCUUCGGCGCGGUAAACCUCGAGGCAGGGGUGGUCGAGAAAAAGAAACACCGCCGACGACAAAGGGCAGAAGCACGACAACGCCAACGCCCAUGCCCGCUUCUUCUCCGGGAGCGACGACUUCGUCUCGGCGGCCACGGGGGCGCUCGACGCCGCCGUCGUCCCCGUCACGAGGCUCAGUUUAAUUACCUGGUUUUCAUGAGAAAAUCGGCUAUUUGCCACUUUCAAUACAGGGCUUCGCAAAAUUGCCACUCUCAACAUUAG
rnacentral:rRNA from 1 species